rnacentral:rRNA from 1 species
UCCCCCUACGGGAGGCAGCAGUGGGGAAUAUUGCACAAUGGGGGGAACCCUGAUGCAGCAAUGCCGCGUGGGUGAAGAAGCACUCCGGUGCGUAAAGCCCUGUCAGCAGGGAAGAAAAUGACAGUACCUGGACAAGAAGCCCCGGCUAACUACGUGCCAGCAGCCGCGGUAAUACGUAGGGGGCAAGCGUUAUCCGGAUUUACUGGGUGUAAAGGGAGCGUAGACGGUGAUGCAAGUCUGGAGUGAAAGGCGGGGGCCCAACCCCCGGACUGCUCUGGAAACUGUGUAACUUGAGUGCAGGAGAG